rnacentral:lncRNA from 1 species
GAGAAAGAGAGAGAGAGAGAAUACUGUGCGAAAGAACGAUUUCGAAGGAAGAUUUCGCGUUCGAACCUUCGGCUACGAGGUUCGCCUGAACUCUGUGACAGAACCGAGGGUCUUCAAGGACGUUCGCGAGCCGUUCGAUAACCAGAAUCCAGGCUAACAGAUGUUGGAAAAGAUCAUGCCGUGCGAACCGAUUGCCCCGGUUCAAACUAGCCGAGACGAUCGUCGCGGGAGCAUCGAAAAUCUUAGAGAAUUCCAGAAAUCGUUGGAUAUCGAGAAGUUGGUUUAACGACACCCGAAGAAUACGAACAUCGCUCGCGUCGAGACUCGAAGAUUUCAGGAUUUCAGGGGGAAAAGGAGAAUCGAGAAUCGAGGUUCGAAUUUUUCCUUCCUCGAAAUUUCGAACGAUCUUCGAACAGUGAAUACACGCAAGAAAUUGUAUGGUCAUAGUGAGGAUCUCGUUCGUUUGUGCGCUCGUUCGGGCUUGCGUCGAGCCACGUGGUGCUCCGAAUCUGCGCUUCAUCAAUCCUCGCGCGUAUACGCAACCUUCUCUCUUUGCGAAACCGCGUCUCGAGAAGGUGAAAACGAAGCGAGAGAGAAUCCGGCGAAUCACGGUGAAUCGAAAGUAUUAAUAAUUUUCCUUCGUUCGCAUCGUCGAGCUUAUGUGGUGUCGUUCGAAUCGUAUUUACGCAACGGAAAGAAGAAAAACUGUUCACGCCUCGAAGACGUCGAAGAUUUUUGCACUCGGGGAUAGUGAGACAGUGUGAACGGAUCGAUGAAUGAAAGGAAGAAAAUGAAGAUAAAAGAAAAAAAAAGAAAGAAGAAAAUGAAAAAUCGAAUAAUGAUAAAUAAUUGUGUGAUUAAAUUUAAAAUAGUCGAAUAUCGACGUAUAAAAAAAAAAGAAAGGUAUAUUAAUUGGGGGAAAAGUGGGAGAAAUAUAACUGCUUAUCGAUUUUAUCCUUGUCGUCGAUUAAUGAGACGACUGAAGGGAACGACGAAGAGAACGUUACGCUUUACGGACGUGUUAGCAGCCGACGGCUCUUUGCCAACGAGAUCGUCACGAAUCAACGAUGAACAAGUGAGAGGUGUGUUCUACGCUCGGUUGGAAGUGUGCAUGUUGCUUAGUGGCGGUAUUAUUCGGUAAGGAUGAACCCGCGGAAAAUGGCGGAAAAAAUUUGGAAGUGUGUGGAAGAAUUUCGAGUGCAACUGGCGAAACCACGAAGGACGGAAUCGGUAACGAAUAUUUUUUAAAAGAAAAAAAAAAAAAAAGGUCUUUCUAGUCGCAGUGAGAUGAUCGUUUCUUUGAUAAUAAUAACGAAACGAUAAUCGAACCCUAUAUUUAACCUUUAUUUUUACACACGGUUUCGAGAGAAGAUACGUAAAAGGAUAUUAUUAUAAAUUAACGCCUAAUCUAAUGAUAGGGAUUACGUAGAAACUUUACAAAAUACCUGGGUAUCUUCGAACCUUUUCCUUGUUAAAAAGUUUCCCCAUAAAUUUGUCACUGUCACAGAAAUGAUAUACGCCCCGCCAGCUUCGAAAUCUCGUCGAAUUAUCUCGUUCCACUUAUCAGGGAAUACUUCCAAACAAACGGCCACGCCCCCGCUUCUAAAAAAAAAUCUUCCCUUUGAACAAACUGGCCGAAACGGGAUACCCGAACGUCGAGGAAAAAUUUACAACACAUUAUAAAAAUCUUACAAAUCUUUUACGAAAAAGUCUCGUUCGAAAUCAUCAUCUUCCAUCAAAUA